CCAUGUGACUUACCACUGUUGCCUCGGUGGAAGGCAUCCGAAAGGGUGCUGGAAACCGGUGGACAUCUAAACUCUUGUUAAUUUUUGGCAUUCUGAAUCAUAACUAAGAAAUAAGUUAAAACUUUCAACAACGGAUCUCUUGGUUCUGGCAUCGAUGAAGAACGCAGCGAAAUGCGAUAAGUAAUGUGAAUUGCAGAAUUCAGUGAAUCAUCGAAUCUUUGAACGCACAUUGCGCCCAUUAGUAUUCUAGUGGGCAUGCCUGUUCGAGCGUCAUUUCAACCCUUAAGCCUAGCUUAGUGUUGGGAGACUGCCUAAUACGCAGCUCCUCAAAACCAGUGGCAGAGUUUUUACGUACUCUGAGCGCAGUAAUUCUAUUCUCGCUUCUGAAAACGUCUAGACGAUAGCCAAAAACCGCAUGCUUCGGCAGCACUUUUUAAUGGUUGACCUCGGAUCAGGUAGGAAUACCCGCUGAACUUAAGCAUAUCAAUAG
rnacentral:rRNA from 1 species